rnacentral:rRNA from 1 species
GACGAAUGCUGGCUGCGUGCUUAACACACGCAAGUCGAACGGUGAAGGGGAGCUUGCUCCCCGGAUCAGUGGCGAACGGGUGAGUAACACGUGGGCAACCUGCCCCUCACUCUGGGAUAACUCCGGGAAACCGGGGCUAAUACCGGAUACGACCGGGAGCGACAUCGCUCCUGGUGGAAAGAACUUCGGUGAGGGAUGGGCCCGCGGCCUAUCAGCUAGUUGGUGGGGUAACGGCCCACCAAGGCGACGACGGGUAGCCGGCCUGGGAGGGCGACCGGCCACACUGGGACUGAGACACGGCCCAGACUCCUACGGGAGGCAGCAGUGGGGAAUAUUGCGCAAUGGGCGAAAGCCUGACGCAGCGACGCAGCGUGAGGGACGAAGGCCUUCGGGUUGUAAACCUCUUUCAGCGGGGACGAAGCGAAAGUGACGGUACCCGCAGAAGAAGCACCGGCUAACUACGUGCCAGCAGCCGCGGUAAAAC